UCAGUUUUUGUUAUACACGGGUCCAAUUGUGCUUAAAGAUUGUCUACCAAGACUAAAAUACCAGCAUUUUCUGCUGUUCUUUGUUGCUAUCUAUUGUCUCAGUAGUCCAGUGUUUUUCAGAGAGUAUGGAGAAUAUGCCCAUGAUAUAUUAUGUAUUUUUGUGAGAGAUGUGGGAAGAUUGUAUGGCAGGGACCAGAUUGUUUACAAUAUUCAUGGUUUGACCCACUUAGCAAAGGAUGUUGAACGGUUUGGACCCCUGGAUAGGUUUUCAGCAUUUAUUUUUGAAAGUUUUUUAGGUCGAUUAAAACGUCUUGUAAGGAAACCAAAUUUUCCAUUGCAACAGGUAAUAAGAAGGCUUUCAGAAUGCAAUUAUCAAUUUGAAAAAAAAAGUGAAAUUCCUAAAUUAGGCAUACCUAAAAAGAUUCAUAUACAAGGACCACGGUCAGCUGAUGUACAGUUUAGACAUUUUUUACAGUUUAAAGACAUUCACUUUCAAGAUCUAUACUUUUCUGUCAGUGAAGGAGAUAACUGUAUUUUGGUUGGAAACAAAGUUGGUAUUAUUAAAAACAUUAUAUGUCAAAAUGCAGAAUCAGAAAAAUAUGUAAUAUAUAAAGAAUUCAGAAACACUUCAGAUUUUUUUAGUAUUCCAUUGAAUUCUUCAGAUUUAGGGAUAUACACUGUGUGUGAUCUUGCUGGUGAACUGAAAACUGACAAAUGCUCUGUGGUCAGUAAAUGUGUUCUUAUGCCAUUUGAUGAAAAGUUUGUUGCAAUUCCACUGAUUCAUACAUUGUAAUUUAAAUAUAUAGGAUUUUAUUUAUAAUGAAGGCAGCUGUUACACCAGGAUGAAAGAAAAAAUGUUGCAUUGUUAAUGAUUUUGAUAAAUCACCAAAAUCUUACUUUGUUCUGAAUAUCCAGGAUGCAUGUACUCAUUGAAUUCACGGAUGAGCAAUGUCUAGCUAUAAUUCCUGAUACUUGGAAGCUUGGAAAAACUCGUGCUCUUUGGCCAAAUACGCAGAAUGCAACCAAGCUGCAGAAAAUGGUGAAGUCUAAACAAGAUCCGGAUGACGAGGAAUGGGAGUCUUUUCCUAUAAGAGUGUUGUAUGAAAAUGAAUCUUAUGACAAGGUGCGGUCUAAGUUAAAAAGGGCAGAGGAGGAGUCAGACUUGGCAACAGCUGUUUCGGAAGACUCCGGGGAUGAUGACGCUUCACGGCGAUCAAAGAGAAAAAGAAGAGCACCACAGCAGCUGUCAUCUGAUGAUGACCAACCUGAAAUGGGGUAUAUGUCCUCCCUGCCAAAGCCCCCCGCACAGAGGUCGACACUCCCAAAGAAACAACCACAACAACACAACAAAACCCAGCCUCUGGUAUCAAAAUCAUCAAUACCCAAAACUCCUCAGCAUCAACGGAUUCAGAGCCCCCAAUCAGAGACACCAACCCUGACUCGCCCAAGGGACAUAUCUAAUGCACGUGAUGUUCGUCUUUUUACUCUGCUGGAACAGAUUAAAUCCACGCAGGUAAAACAGCAGACGAUCAUGGAGACAAUUUUAAAAAAAAGUUGACCAGUUGAGCAUCUCCGAGCAUGGACAGUCAGUAGGACCAACCACAGAUAUACCGGAGGAUGUAGUGUUCCCCCUCAACAACUUGGAGGAGUUGAACGCCCUCGAAGAAAAGCUUGCGGACACCAGUGUCCUAAAAUCAGUUAUCAACCAUCUGUCUGUUGUUGGAGGCAAAACAACAAAUGAUAUGACCAGAAGGAUCCUGAAGUCCACAGUCCGGUCAGGUCUUGCAACCCAGUACAACUGGUAUGGAAAGAAAGGGAAAAUGCCCUUUGGAAAGCUGCGACUAGCUACAGUUAUACAGAAGGCUGUUAGGAAAGUAAAGCCAGAAAGCUCUGAAUUAGAGGUGGAGCUAGCCACUCGAGAAUGGCUUAGAACUGCAGCAGACCGAGAUGGUGGUAGAAAGAGGCGCCAGGCUGUAUGUGCAAUUGUACAGCCAAAUACAUUACAUGGACAUUCUGAGAAUGAUUCAGAAAGUGAACAUUCAUUGGUGUAUGAAUAAGUUAUGAUUAUGUUCAGUAAUAUUUGAUAGUUAAAAACAUGUAUAUUUUAAACAAAAAAGUAGUUUUGCAUCCGUUUAGAGUUGGAAUAUAUGAAGAAAUAAAUAACAUCAACAACAAACUUCCAGCAACAGCUGCAAAAGCACUUGAAAGUUAGUCGUCAGUAUUAUUUAUUUUUUCAUAAAUAUUAUAAAAUGAAAAUGCUUUUCAAAUUAUAUAUAUUAUGUGCCAAAACAACUACAAGACCUAUAUACCUAAAACCUUAAGUUUUGUAUUUAAUUAUCAUCUGUUUUGCAUUUUAAUGUUACAUUGCUUUUCAAUCUCACAUGGCUUUUUUCCAAUACUUUGAGAAUGGGGCUGGCCCAUCGCUUUUAGACUAAAACAAAAAUCUAGGUUAAAAUUAGGAAAAAAUUUACAUAAUGUUAAAAAAAAUAUGAUACAAGUAGACACAAAUACAUGUAACACACUUAUAUAUAUAUUAUGCUUUAUUUAUAGCAUUAUCUCCCUGGCCAAUAAUUUAGGUCAAGGUAACCAAUGAAACGUAAAUGACAUGGCACUUUCCAGAUUUUUCAAAACAUUUUUUCAUAAAUCAAUUAAUUGAGAAAUUUUAAUGGUUGCAUUGAUUGGAAAAAAGCAAUUUUUUUUCUGUUUUUCAAAUCCAAAUUGGCCUCAUAGAAAGCCCUGUCACGGUACACUUCUUAAGUGCCUGAUUGGUCUAUACUGCCUCCCCUUGGGGAGCUCUUGUUGAUUUGCAUAAUAUUUGCCUAAUACAUUUGUAACUCCAUGUUAUGUUUAAUAUAAACUUGUUCGAUAUGAAUGUUGCAAUAUCAAUAAGCAUAAUACAUAUUUUUCAUUUAGAUAAUCCUUGGUUUGUAAAUAUCUUUGUGACAUCUGUCUUUAAUAUGUGUGCAUUCAAAUUGCCCUGCCUAUGUGGUCUGUCAUCCCUCCGUAAACAAUUAUUAUGAUCACUAUCUCUCAGAAAGUACAGAAGGGAUCUUUUCAAAUUUCUUAUGAUGGGUCCCCUAGGUGUCUAGUUGUACAUGUUGCAUUUUAGGACCAAUCAAACACAUGGCCGACAAGACGCUAUCUUCGAUUGUGACAAUUGAUGUUUGAUUUUUUAGCCCACCAUCAUGAGAUGGUGGGCUAUUCAAAUUGCCCUGCGUCCGUGGUCCGUGGUCCGUCCCUCCGUCC